rnacentral:rRNA from 1 species
GGAGCGCGCGCAGGCGGUUUCUUCUGUCUGAUGUGAAAGCCCACGGCUCAACCGUGGAGGGUCAUUGGAAACUGGGGAACUUGAGUGCCCAAAAGAAAAGCGGAAUUCCACGUGUAGCGGUGAAAUGCGUAGAGAUGUGGAGGAACACCAGUGGCGAAGGCGGCUUUUUGGUCUGUAACUGACGCUGAGGAGCGAAAACGUGGGGAGCAAACAAGAUUAUAUACCCUGGUGGUCCACGCCGCAAACGAUGAUUGCU